GGGUGAUUAGCUCAGUUGGUUUAGAGCACUACCUUGACAGGGUAGGGGUCACUGGUUCGAAUCCAGUAUCACCCACUA
rnacentral:tRNA from 3 species